CACUACUUCAGAGUCCCUAUGGGGGGUAGUGCACUACUUCAGAGUCCCUAUGGGGGGUAGUGCACUACUUCUGACCAGAGUCCCUAUGGGGUGUAGUGCACUACUUCUGACCAGAGUCCCUAUGGGGGGUAGUGCACUACUUCAGAGUCCCUAUGGGGGGUAGUGCACUACUUCUGACCAGAGUCCCUAUGGGGGGUAGUGCACUACUUCUGACCAGAGUCCCUAUGGGGGGUAGUGCACUACUUCUGACCAGAGUCCCUAUGGGGGUAGUGCACUACUUCUGACCAGAGUCCCUAUGGGGGUAGUGCACUACUUCAGAGUCCCUAUGGGGGGUAGUGCACUACUUCAGAGUCCCUAUGGGGUAGUGCACUACUUCUGACCAGAGUCCCUAUGGGGGUAGUGCACUACUUCUGACCAGAGUCCCUAUGGGGUGUAGUGCACUACUUCAGAGUCCCUAUGGGGGGUAGUGCACUACUUCAGAGUCCCUAUGGGGUAGUGCACUACUUCUGACCAGAGUCCCUAUGGGGGGUAGUGCACUACUUCUGACCAGAGUCCCUAUGGGGGGUAGUGCACUACUUCUGACCAGAGUCCCUAUGGGGGGUAGUGCACUACUUCUGACCAGAGUCCCUAUGGGGUGUAGUGCACUACUUCAGAGUCCCUAUGGGGGGUAGUGCACUACUUCAGAGUCCCUAUGGGGUAGUGCACUACUUCUGACCAGAGUCCCUAUGGGGUAGUGCAUAACCCCGUUCCCGGAGAGACUGCACCGUUUAAACACAGGAUGUGGCUUUUAAAUGGCCCCCUAUUUCCUUUAUAGUGCACUACCCAUAGUGACUCUGGUCAAAAGUAGUGCACUAUGUAGGGAAUAGGGUGCCAAGUGCCAUAAAUGAGGAGAUACUAUGGCCUGCCACCCAAAUGGCUCCUUAUGGGGCCCACUGUGAAGGGAAUAUAAUGUCAGUGUAGCCCGCAGUAUCAUAGCAACGGGAUGGAUGCCAGCGUAGCUCGCAGUAUCAUGGCAACGGGAUGGAUGCCAGCGUAGCCCGCAGUAUCAUAGCAACGGGAUGGAUGCCAGCGUAGCUCACAGUAUCAUAGCAACGGGAUGGAUGCCAGCGUAGCCCACAGUAUCAUAGCAACGGGAUGGAUGCCAGCGUAGCCCACAGUAUCAUAGCAACGGGAUGGAUGCCAGCGUAGCCCACAGUAUCAUAGCAACGGGAUGGAUGCCAGUGUAGCCCACAGUAUCAUAGCAACGGGAUGGAUGCCAGCGUAGCCCACAGUAUCAUAGCAACGGGAUGGAUGCCAGUGUAGCCCACAAUAUCAUAGCAACAGGCAGCCAUCUGUGAGCCAGACAACACAAUGUCUUAAUGUGUGCGUGUGUCUCAAAAGGCUCACUAUCCCCUAUAUUAUAGUGAACUACUUUUGACCCGGGUCCGUAGGAAGCCCCAUAGAGCUCUGGUCAACAGCAGUGCAUUAUAUAGGGAAUGGGUUACCAUUGGGGACGCAGACCAAGUUCUGUAUAAUGUUGGAUGGUUUCUCCUAAUGUCUUAAUUAAAGUGGUAUGUUUAGGCAAUAAGGCCCGAGGGGGUGUGGUAUAUGGCCAAUAUACCACGGCUGAGGGCUGUUCUUAGGAACAACACAACAUGGAGUAGCCUAGUGGUUAGAGCGUUGGGACAGAAACCGACAGGUUGCUAGAUCGAAUCCCCGAGCUGUCGUUCUGAACAAGUCAGUUAACCCACUGUUCCUAGGCCGUCAUUGUAAAUAAGAAUUUGUUCUUAUUAACUGACUUGCCGAGUUAAAUAAAGUUUAAAUAAAUAAAAUAUAUAUAUAUAAAAAAUACCACAAACCCCCGAGAAGCCUUAUUGCUAUUAUAAACUGGUUAACAACGUCAUGUUGUCAUACCCGUGGUAUACGGUCUGAUAUACCACGGCUAUUAGCCAAUCAGCAUUCAGGGCUCGAACCACCCAGUUUAUAAAUAUAUAUAUAUAUAUAUAUAUAUAUAUAUAAUGAGGGUAAUUCAUAUUGAAGGGAAGAGGUUGUGUGUUUUUCUGUUAUGGGGGUCAGUGGUAAUAACUGUAAUCACCCUGUUCCUGGAGAGAUUACCUCCUGUAGGUUUUAACUCCAACCCUGUUCCUGGAGAGAUUACCCUCCUGUAGGUUUAAACUCCAACCCUGUUCCUGGAGAGAUUACCUCCUGUAGGUUUUAACUCCAACCCUGUUCCUGGAGAGACACCCUCCUGUAGGUUUUAACUCCAACCCUGUUCCUGGAGAGAUUACCUCCUGUAGGUUUUAACUCCAACCCUGUUCCUGGAGAGACACCCUCCUGUAGGUUUAAACUCCAACCCUGUUCCUGGAGAGAUACCCUCCUGUAGGUUUAAACUCCAACCCUGUUCCUGGAGAGAAACCCUCCUGUAGGUUUAAACUCCAACCCUGUUCCUGGAGAGAUUAGCCUCCUGUAGGUUUUAACUCCAACCCUGUUCCUGGAGAGACACCCUCCUGUAGGUUUAAACUCCAACCCUGUUCCUGGAGAGACACCCUCCUGUAGGUUUAAACUCCAACCCUGUUCCUGGAGAGAUUAGCCUCCUGUAGGUUUAAACUCCAACCCUGUUCCUGGAGAGAUACCCUCCUGUAGGUUUAAACUCCAACCCUGUUCCUGGAGAGAUACCCUCCUGUAGGUUUAAACCAUUGUUUAGCAUAAAAGGGCUAUCGCUUCAUUGGUCCCUCUCAUGUAACCAAUGGCCUGAAGGAUGUUUUAUGUUUGUUUGUGACUAAAUGUUGUUUUAAAUUGUCAAUUUGUUGAAUUGUUCAUGAAUAGGUUAAUUCUUUCCCACCUGUCCUGAGGUUGGUUGUUUAUAAUUGCGUAGAUUGAAUGAUUAAAUAUCUUGUCUCUUUU